AGAGUUUGAUCAUGGCUCAGAACGAACGCUGGCGGCGUGGAUAAGACAUGCAAGUCGAACGAGAUUUUUCGUUGUAGCAAUACGAUGGAAAGUCUAGUGGCGAACGGGUGCUUAACACGUGGGCAACCUGCCAUGAAGUGGGGGAUAGCUCGUCGAAAGGCGAAUUAAUACCGCAUGUGAUUAGAGUGGACAUCCAUUCAAAAUUAAAGUCGGGGCAACCUGACGCUUCUUGUGGGGCCCGCGGCCUAUCAGCUAGUUGGUGAGGUAACGGCCCACCAAGGCUUUGACGGGUAGCUGGUCUGAGAGGACGACCAGCCACACUGGGACUGAGACACGGCCCAGACACCUACGGGUGGCAGCAGUCGAGAAUUUUUGACAAUGGGGGAAACCCUGAUCGAGCGACGCCGCGUGGAGGAUGAAGGUCUUCGGAUUGUAAACUCCUGUCAUUGGGGAACAAUGCACAGAUAUUAACUGUAUUUGUGUUGAUAGUACCCGAAGAGGAAGGGACGGCUAACUCUGUGCCAGCAGCCGCGGUAAUACAGAGGUCCCAAGCGUUGUUCGGAUUCAUUGGGCGUAAAGGGUGCGUAGGCGGCGCGGUAAGUCGGGUGUGAAAUCUCGGGGCUUAACUCCGAAACUGCAUUCGAUACUGCCGUGCUUGAGGACUGGAGAGGAGACUGGAAUUUACGGUGUAGCGGUGAAAUGCGUAGAUAUCGUAAGGAAGACCAGUGGCGAAGGCGGGUCUCUGGACAGUUCCUGACGCUGAGGCACGAAGGUCAGGGGAGCAAACGGGAUUAGAUACCCCCGUAGUCC
rnacentral:rRNA from 1 species